rnacentral:rRNA from 1 species
UGGCGAACGGGUGAGUAACACGUGGGUGAUCUGCCCCGCACUGUGGGAUAAGCCUGGGAAACUAGGUCUAAUACCACAUACGACCACACUGUAGACAGUGUGGUGGAAAGCUUUUGCGGUGUGGGAUGAGCCCGCGGCCUAUCAGCUUGUUGGUGGGGUAAUGGCCUACCAAGGCGGCGACGGGUAGCCGGCCUGAGAGGGUGGACGGCCACAUUGGGACUGAGACACGGCCCAG